UGAUAAGUGAAUUUUGUGUAACGAGCUCCU
rnacentral:piRNA from 1 species